AGAGUUUGAUCCUGGCUCAGGAUGAACGCUGGCGGCGUGCCUAACACAUGCAAGUCGAGCGAUUUACUUCGGUAAAGAGCGGCGGACGGGUGAGUAACGCGUGGGUAACCUGCCCUGUACACACGGAUAACAUACCGAAAGGUAUGCUAAUACGAGAUAAUAUGCUUUUAUCGCAUGGUAGAAGUAUCAAAGCUUUUGCGGUACAGGAUGGACCCGCGUCUGAUUAGCUAGUUGGUAAGGUAACGGCUUACCAAGGCGACGAUCAGUAGCCGACCUGAGAGGGUGAUCGGCCACAUUGGAACUGAGACACGGUCCAAACUCCUACGGGAGGCAACAGUGGGGAAUAUUGCACAAUGGGCGAAAGCCUGAUGCAGCAACGCCGCGUGAGCGAUGAAGGCCUUCGGGUCGUAAAGCUCUGUCCUCAAGGAAGAUAAUGACGGUACUUGAGGAGGAAGCCCCGG
rnacentral:rRNA from 1 species